AUUGAACGCUGGCGGCAUGCCUUACACAUGCAAGUCGAACGGUAACGCGGGGCAACCUGGCGACGAGUGGCGAACGGGUGAGUAAUGCAUCGGAACGUGCCCAGUAGUGGGGGAUAGCCCGGCGAAAGCCGGAUUAAUACCGCAUACGACCUACGGGUGAAAGCGGGGGAUCGCAAGACCUCGCGCUAUUGGAGCGGCCGAUGUCAGAUUAGGUAGUUGGCGGGGUAAAGGCCUACCAAGCCUGCGAUCUGUAGCUGGUCUGAGAGGACGACCAGCCACACUGGGACUGAGACACGGCCCAGACUCCUACGGGAGGCAGCAGUGGGGAAUUUUGGACAAUGGGCGCAAGCCUGAUCCAGCCAUGCCGCGUGCGGGAAGAAGGCCUUCGGGUUGUAAACCGCUUUUGUCAGGGAAGAAACGCUCUGGGUUAAUACCCUGGGGUAAUGACGGUACCUGAAGAAUAAGCACCGGCUAACUACGUGCCAGCAGCCGCAGUAAGAC
rnacentral:rRNA from 1 species